rnacentral:rRNA from 1 species
UACGUAGGGUGCAAGCGUUGUCCGGAAUUAUUGGGCGUAAAGAGCUCGUAGGCGGUCUGUCGCGUCGGCUGUGAAAACCCGGGGCUCAACCCCGGGCCUGCAGUCGAUACGGGCAGACUAGAGUGCGGUAGGGGAGACUGGAAUUCCUGGUGUAGCGGUGAAAUGCGUAGAUAUCUGGAGGAACACCGGUGGCGAAGGCGGCAUUCUGGACCAUAACUGACACUGAGAGACGAAAGCCAGGGGAGCAAACGGG